rnacentral:rRNA from 1 species
UACAGAGGGUGCGAGCGUUGUCCGGAAUCACUGGGCGUAAAGGGCGCGUAGGCGGCUUGAUAAGCGUGCGGUGAAAGCCCGGGGCUCAACCCCGGGUCGGCCGUGCGAACUGUCGAGCUGGAGCACUGUAGAGGCAGGUGGAAUUCCGGGUGUAGCGGUGGAAUGCGUAGAGAUCCGGGAAGAACACCGGUGGCGAAGGCGGCCUGCUGGGCAGUGGCUGACGUGAGGCGCGACAGCGUGGGGAGCAAACAGG